CUACGGGUUGCAGCAGUGGGGAAUAUUGCACAAUGGGGGAAACCCUGAUGCAGCCAUGCCGCGUGUAUGAAGAAGGCCUUCGGGUUGUAAAGUACUUUCAGCAGUGAGGAAGGUGGUGAGUUUAAUACGCUCAUCAUUUGACGUUAGCUGCAGAAGAAGCACCGGCUAACUCCGUGCCAGCAGCCGCGGUAAUACGGAGGGUGCGAGCGUUAAUCGGAAUUACUGGGCGUAAAGCGCAUGCAGGUGGUUGAUUAAGUCAGAUGUGAAAGCCCGGGGCUUAACCUCGGAAUCGCAUUUGAAACUGGUCAGCUAGAGUACUGUAGAGGGGGGUAGAAUUUCAGGUGUAGCGGUGAAAUGCGUAGAGAUCUGAAGGAAUACCGGUGGCGAAGGCGGCCCCCUGGACAGAUACUGACACUCAGAUGCGAAAGCGUGGGGAGCAAACAGGAUUAGAUACCCCCGUAGUC
rnacentral:rRNA from 1 species